UCAGCCGGUGACGUCAACAAAUCAAAUCCUCAAAUUGACGUUAGGUGCGAAUAAAGGUGAGUCGCGGAUAUAGGUGCAAAACGACGUUUUAUUUUUUAUUAAUGCAUAUAUUAUUUUAACAUUUAUUGCCAAGUGAAAUAACAACAACCAAUCUUUUUUAUAAUUAAACAAAACGCAUUUAAGUAGUUUUCAAGAAAAAGAUUAUAUUUAAAUGUUAACUGUUUGUAUCCCCAAAUCUUAUCAAACUGUGGGCAUCUUUGAAUACGUUUGUACUUCUUAAACGCGUUUGGACCGUUUCUCAAAAGUUAUAUAUGCGCAAAAAAGCUUUAUUUUGUGUUUAUAUUUUUAAAAAUUUCGUAUGUCUUUGUUGCAUUAUAUUCUGAUUUUCUCUGUGUAAAAUGGACGUCACUUUCACAGAUAUCAUAUUUACUCUCUAAUGUCUGCGUUUAAAUCUUCUCAAUACAAUUUCCAGUGUGUGUUUUUUUAAAAUGAAAAACAGGUUAUAUGGAACUUGUGUUUUGUGACUUUAAUCGAAGCGAGUUGUUCGUAUGUAUAUUCCUUGCAAUUUUUUGCAACGUAACUUGAGGAAAAAUGUUAGUGAAUCAGCAGACAAAUCACUUUCAGACACUUAUUUUAUUGAUAAGUAUUCGGUUGAAUAAUAAUGCAUUUGAACUUCGCUUAUCAUUAAGAGUUUGUCUUUCGUCAGAAGCCAUUUGUUUAGAAAAAAUUAAGUGUCGUUAAUUCUUUGACACCUCUUUAAUUAAUGAUAAAAAGCAUUUGACAAUAUGUUUAUCGCAAUGUUUGCUCGUUUCUAUGAUAACUUGUUCGCUUUGAUGAGAUUUAUCUGCCCUUUGUUUUGAAUUAUUUUCUUUUUUGUAAGCAUUCAAAAUCUUAUUUGUUUUGCUCACUUUUUAUUUCUAAAAUAUCACUGUCUUGGCCUUCUUUCAGAAUCGCAGUUGUAUAACGUAAGCUUCCGUUUCUACAGUAUACGUUUUUAUCACAUGACAUACCCUGUUUCCCAUGUAAUAUAACAAUUACAUUAUAAUUUACAUAUUUUUUUAAUAUUACACAUGUGUAAUACAACAUUUUUAAGCGCUUUCAUUGGCUUAGUUUUCGUUUAUUGAUCAAUCGCAUUUUGUUAUUAUGCUGAAAUGACGUUGCAACGUCAAAUGACGUCACGAAAUGUAAACAUCAUUCGGGAUUUAUCAUCAUGUUUGCGUUAAUAUUUAUUUAAUUUGCUCAUUUAAAAGCAUUUGAUAAUAAAGAUCUGACACUCGUUGUCAUAUCAUACCAUAUUUUAUUAAACUCGUCCAGGAAAUUCGUUAGUAAGCUCGCCAAAUGCUCGCUUACUAAAAAAAUUCCUGAACUCGUUUAAUAAAGUAUGGUAUGAUAUGACAACUCGUGCCAGAUCCUAUAUGUCUUAAAAUUCCGAAUUCUGUAUCACGCUCAUCUUUGAUGAUCACAUAAUUUAAUUCAGUAUAAUUUGCAAGCACACAUAUCUUAGGCUAUAAUAAUGUAACUAAAAUUAUACCCUUUAAUAUACUAAGCGCGAACAAUAUCUUGGUAAAUUCUGAGUCCAUUUUUGUGCAAAUGUAGCCCUUACAUUUUUCGUCAGAUAAGGUGUAUGUGCAUACAAUUAGAAGCCCAUACAAGUCCGUCCGUAUAUUGACAGCUGUAAGCAUGUUUUGAAUAUUAGACUAAAAUAGUGUUCACCAUAUUUGUACGAAAGGAUAAUAGUGUGUAUUCCACAUAACGAAGAUGGUAUUAUCCAUAGUAAUGAUAGACAUGUGCAUAAUUGUAAACUGUGUAAGGGAACAUGCAAAUCAUAAAGCGAAUGCACGCCAAUCAAUGAUUUGCAUGUAUUCCGAGUUCUAAAAGAUGACAUAUACAAAUGUAUUAACUAGGUCAGUUUCUAAUAUGUUACAAGAUGAUACCAUUUGCAUAUAGCUGAAUAUUUUGUCUUAACAAGUAAGUAUACAUAUAGAAUAUUAUGUGAGUUUUGGAUAAAGAUCCAGUUUAUCAUGCGAGGCUUAGAACCUUGGUAGCGCAUUUAUCAUAUUAUUUUCUCCCAUUUUUCAUUAAUAAACACCAAAUAUCGCAGUUUUUGACAAUUUUGUUCUUCCGUAGUUAGCAAACCCGAGUGAGGCAUCCCGCGUAGAUUUUAUAACAAAGUAGUCCAUGAGAUAUCAAACGUUUUAUUGAACAAACAACCUUUGUAACAUAUGCCACUCAUAAUAUUGUGUUGAAAACGAGACAAAGCUCAUUUAUAUCAAUAACAAUAAAUCAAUAACGAUAGCGCUAUAUUAUUUUCGGGGCACUGGAAUUCACCCGCAAGGCUCGUCGUAGUAAGAAGGUAAGCAAAAAAUUGACAAGUGCUCGUGAGAGAAUUUGAAAUUCAAGACUUAUUUAUUUAGAUCUGUGAGUGAUCCUGUACUCGAGGAGUUAAUGAUAUUGAAGUUAUGGAUGUUAAAGGUUGCCCUAUAAAACUGUGAAGUUAAAAGCCUUGCUGUUGAAACAUUGAAUUCCGUGUUUACAGAGGAAGUUGUGUGGUGGGUGGGGAACAUGAAAUCUGAAUUCAAAGUAUAUUCAGGAAUUGUGACAUACACCGGAUUUGUUUGUGAGGUUAGUGUUGCUGUAAUGUUGUGUUUGUUUUUCUGAUGGUGUGUUCAGACUUCGACUGUGCUUUUGUGGAAGUUGACAAUAUGGCUGCACAUCUUUGAAGUUGCUUUUCAGUCACUGAAGAAUAGUUCAAAAUGUACUGAACAUUCUUAUGACCAGUAAUAGCCAUAAUUUCUGUAGGAGGAACAUCAUGGCCUCGCAGCUUCUGGACAAGAUGUUUUCGCGCAGAGUGGUUUGUGUAACGUUUGCCCUCUGGAAGAUUUGCUGCCACCGCCAUGGUUUUGAGCAUCUUUCCUUAUUUGACUUCUCCAAGGCGUUGUCUCAAAAACCACUGACUGGAGCAACCCUCUCUGGUGCGCGGCGCUAGGUAAAAUGGAUCAUCAUCGUUUGAGAAUCCAUCUGGUCGCUUUGCCGAAUAAGCCUUGUACAUGGCGAUUGGGUCACGAGGAGAAUUAACCUUCCUGUAGUCGCCCAGAUUUUCACCAGUGCGUGUUUUUGUCUGCCUCUCAUGAAACUCUAAGAAUUCAUCACUCUCGGCAGUGGUUCGCAGCUUCACAUCUCCCCAUCUAAAUAAAAGGGAACAUGGAGUGUGUGGACCAAGGACAGCAGUUUCCCACAUCUGGUAUAUGUCCUCAUCAGUUAGAGGUUCAGCUUUCCUUGGGCGGUUGCCUUGGCCCUGUAUAGAGCAAUGUUCAACUGUUCGAUAAUGUCAAGGUUUCACAAGUCAACGCAAAGUCUGUUCCGGAACCGGACAUAAUGCUGUGUGGAAAACGAUGACGACGGAAGUACCGACCCAGCCUCUCAAUGAACUUGGUUCAUAGUCCGACCCAUCCGGUUUAGUUAGAGAGAGGAUAAAUCUUUCCACAUAGUGAUCUAACUGAUCAACGGGAAUUUCAUGUAUUUGCUUUGUUUUGCCUUGUUGUGCAAGAUAUCUGCGAAAUUUGUUGAUAUCAGCAAAUGUUUUUUUUUGCUUUGUUUUUAUUUUCUUGGUCAGUGAUAAAUUUAUUGACAUGUUCAAUGUUAACAUCCUUAAACUCAUUGCUUUUUGAAGUUUCUUGCCUAAUUAAAUCCUUAUUUUGAUAAUUUAUGAGAAUGUUCUCAGAAGCUAGAUUGUCAGUAGCAGUUUGCUCUAGUUCAUUGUCAAAAUCAAACAACACUCUGGCAUCAAACCCAAACAUUGCCUGAAAGUCUUCAUAUGAAAGUUCAACAACAUCUUGUGUAUUUGCAAUUUGCUCUUUGAGUUCAGUUUCAAUGUCACUAUCAUCUAGUAUUAAAUUAAAAUUUUGAUAUUCAAUAUGAUCAGACAUUUGUGUUGAAUUUUAUUCUGUUGCAGACAGCAAUUUUAGUGUAGAAUAUUUAAAACAUAAA